rnacentral:rRNA from 1 species
GACGAACGCUGGCGGCGUGCCUAAUACAUGCAAGUCGAACGCUUCUUUUUCCACCGGAGCUUGCUCCACCGGAAAAAGAGGAGUGGCGAACGGGUGAGUAACACGUGGGUAACCUGCCCAUCAGAAGGGGAUAACACUUGGAAACAGGUGCUAAUACCGUAUACCAAUCGAAACCGGAUGGUUUUGAUUUGAAAGGCGCUUUCGGGUGUCGCUGAUGGAUGGACCUGCGGUGCAUUAGCUAGUUGGUGGGGUAACGGCCCACCAAGGCCACGAUGCAUAGCCGACCUGAGAGGGUGAUCGGCCACAUUGGGACUGAGACACGGCCCAAACUCCUACGGGAGGCAGCAGUAGGGAAUCUUCGGCAAUGGACGAAAGUCUGACCGAGCAACGCCGCGUGAGUGAAGAAGGUUUUCGGAUCGUAAAACUCUGUUGUUAGAGAAGAACAAGGAUGAGAGUAACUGUUCAUCCCUUGACGGUAUCUAACCAGAAAGCCACGGCUAACUACGUGCCAGCAGCCGCGGUAA